rnacentral:lncRNA from 1 species
AUUGGUGAGUGAGGGGGAGUGGAAAGAGAGAGGGACACGUGAGUGUGAGAGAGUAUUUUCUUUUUUAUUUUCUUUUUCCUUAAUGAUCUGUGCCAGAGAGGAGAGUAGUAGUGGAGAGUUUGUUAUUGGAACUCUCAAAAAUUUCUUUUUGGAGUGGAAAUGUGUGUGUCGUUAUUGAGUGGGUAGAGAGAGGAUCUCAUUUUUUUGUUUUUUUGUCUUUUCCUUUCCCGCUAGCUGUCAACAACUUUC